rnacentral:rRNA from 1 species
GACGAACGCUGGCGGCGUGCCUAAUACAUGCAAGUCGAGCGGACAGAAGGGAGCUUGCUCCCGGAAGUUAGCGGCGGACGGGUGAGUAACACGCGGGCAACCUACCCUGUAGACCGGGAUAACAUCGAGAAAUCGGUGCUAAUACCGGAUAAUCAUUUGAAGUGCAUGCUUCGAAUGUAAAAGAUGGCUCCGGCUAUCACUACGGGAUGGGCCCGCGGCGCAUUAGCUAGUUGGUAAGGUAAUGGCUUACCAAGGCAACGAUGAGUAGCCGACCUGAGAGGGUGAUCGGCCACACUGGGACUGAGACACGGCCCAGACUCCUACGGGAGGCAGCAGUAGGGAAUCUUCCGCAAUGGACGAAAGUCUGACGGAGCAACGCCGCGUGAGUGAUGAAGGUUUUCGGAUCGUAAAGCUCUGUUGUUAGGGAAGAACAAGUGCCGUUUGAAUAAGGCGGCACCUUGACGGUACCUAACCAGAAAGCCACGGCUAACUACGUGCCAGCAGCCGCAGUAAAAC